UACGUAGGGUGCAAGCGUUGUCCGGAAUUAUUGGGCGUAAAGAGCUCGUAGGCGGCCUGUUGCGUCCGCUGUGAAAGCCCGGGGCUUAACCCCGGGUCGGCAGUGGAUACGGGCAGGCUAGAGGUAGGCAGGGGAGAAUGGAAUUCCCGGUGUAGCGGUGAAAUGCGCAGAUAUCGGGAGGAACACCGGUGGCGAAGGCGGUUCUCUGGGCCUUACCUGACGCUGAGGAGCGAAAGCGUGGGGAGCGAACAGG
rnacentral:rRNA from 1 species